rnacentral:rRNA from 1 species
GUAGGGAGCAAGCGUUAUUCGGAAUUAUUGGGCGUAAAGAGCGCGCAGGCGGUUCGGUAAGUCUGACGUGAAAUCCCAGAGCUUAACUCUGGAACUGCGUUGGAUACUGCCGAGCUUGAGUGUGGGAGAGGAGAGUGGAAUUCCCAGUGUAGAGGUGAAAUUCGUAGAUAUUGGGAGGAACACCCGAGGCGAAGGCGGCUCUCUGGACCACAACUGACGCUGAGGCGCGAAAGCUAGGGUAGCAAACGGGAUUAGAUACCCCGGUAGUCCUAGCCGUAAACGAUGGGCACUAGGUGUUGGAGGUAUCGACCCCUCCAGUGCCGCAGCUAACGCAUUAAGGUGCCCCGCCUGGGGAGUACGGUCGCAAGACU